rnacentral:rRNA from 1 species
AGGGUUUGAUCAUGGCUCAGAACGUACGCUGGCGGCACGCCUAACACAUGCAAGUCGAACGCAGUAGCAAUACUGAGUGGCAGACGGGUGAGUAACAUGUGGGAAUCUGCCUUGUGGUUCAGGACAACAUUGGGAAACCGAUGCUAAUACUGGAUAAGCCCUUACGGGGAAAGUUUUAAUGCCAUAAGAUGAGCCCGCAUUUGAUUAGUUAGUUGGUGAGGUAAUGGCUCACCAAGACAAUGAUCAAUAGCUGAUCUGAGAGGAUGAUCAGCCACACUGGGACUGAGACACGGCCCAGACUCCUACGGGAGGCAGCAGUGGGGAAUCUUGCACAAUGGAGGAAACUCUGAUGCAGCGAUGCCGCGUGAGUGAAGAAGGCCUUUGGGUUGUAAAGCUCUUUUGUAGGGGAAGAUAAUGACUGUACCCUAAGAAUAAGGUCCGGCUAACUUCGUGCCAGCAGCCGCGGUAAUACGAAGGGACCUAGCGUAGUUCGGAAUUACUGGGCGUAAAGCGCGCGUAGGCCGUUGAGUUAGUUAAUUGUGAAAUCCCAAAGCUUAACUUUGGAACUGCAAUUAAAACUGCUCGACUAGAGUUUGAUAGAGGAAAGCGGAAUACAUAGUGUAGAGGUGAAAUUCGUAGAUAUUAUGUAGAACACCAGUUGCGAAGGCGGCUUUCUGGGUCAACACUGACGCUGAGGCGCGAAAGUAUGGGUAGCAAAGAGGAUUAGAUACCCUCGUAGUCCAUACCAUAAACGAUGAUUGCUAGAUGUUGGAAAUUUAUUUUCAGUAUCGCAGCUAACGCAUUAAGCAAUCCGCCUGGGGAGUACGACCGCAAGGUUAAAACUCAAAUGAAUUGACGGGGACCCGCACAAGCGGUGGAGCAUGUGGUUUAAUUCGAAGAUACGCGCAGAACCUUACCAACCCUUGACAUGUCUGUCGCGAGUUUAGGAAACUAGACUUUUCGGUUCGGCCGGACAGAACACAGGUGCUGCAUGGCUGUCGUCAGCUCGUGUCGUGAGAUGUUGGGUUAAGUCCCGCAACGAGCGCAACCCUCGUUCUGUGUUACCAGCAUUUAGUUGGGGACUCACAGGAGACUGCCGGGGUCAACUCGGAGGAAGGUGGGGAUGACGUCAAAUCAUCAUGCCCCUUAUGUCUUGGGCUGCACGCAUGCUACAAUGGCCGGUACAAAGUGCUGCGAAAUCGUAAGAUUUAGCGAAUCACAUAAAGCCGGUCUCAGUUCGGAUUGAGGUCUGCAACUCGACCUCAUGAAGUCGGAGUUGCUAGUAAUCGUAGAUCAGCAACGCUACGGUGAAUACGUUCCCGGGGCUUGUACACACCGCCCGUCACGUCACGAAAGUCGGUAACACCCAAAGUUAGUGGCCCAACCGCAAGGGGGGAGCUACCUAAGGUGGGAUCGGUGAUUGGGACGAAGUCAUAACAAGGUAGCCGUA